GAUCCCGGAGGUCAACAUCCGACAGCGCGACGCGCCCUCGGAUGCGAAACUG
rnacentral:sRNA from 1 species